ACCCAGGGAGCUAACACAACACGAAUACACCAGCAGCUUCCCGAGGUCCCGAGAGGUGCACGGUCGGACGCCCCCCCCAAGCUCAUCACUGUCGACCCCCAAUUCCCCACACCUGCCCUGGCGGGAAACGGCUCUGGAGGGGGAACAGACCCGGGGGGGCAUCACGCCAAGCCCACCUCAGGUGUGGCCUCAGGGGGCCUGGGCCAGGGAGACAGGCACCGCAGGCGAACCUGUGAGCCGUACCCGUGGACAAGGGGCACGGGGUGGACCGGUGACCACGGGGCUAUUCCCCACCUGCACGCGGGAGCCUCACGGUGCCUGUGUGCGCGUACAGGUACGUGUGUGGUGCGCGGCCGCGGGUGCACACGGGUGAGCUGGCAGGGCUCCUUCUGGAGAACUGUUCUGUCUACAGAGGUGGCCACGGGACCCAACCAGAACCUUCUCCCUUUGGCUAGCUUGUGGGCGAGGGGACACCCGAGCCAGCCAGGCAGGGAGACCACCCCAGCCCUCCACUGCCAUCAGAGAGGAGCAAGUGCCUCUUGCCGGGGUCGCCACACGGUCAGCCCGAGGCCCGGAGCCCUUGUGCCGCUACACACGACGCCCCCACCGAGACAGGCUGUGGGGCCACGGGGUUCUGAGACCCCCUGCGGGGCGACCGGGCGCCUGCUGGAGGGGACGGCAUCCGUCCCCGCGUGUUCUCUCGCUGGGCCCGAGACCGAGGGCGGCACUACUCCGCGGAGGAGCCGGCAGAGGGGGUGCGCUCGGGCGCCCCGAGACUCGGGGGACCCGGGUAUGAGACGGGGUCCCCGGCCUCACCCCAACCCGCCCCGUGGGGGGCCCAAAGGGGGAGCACACGGCCGGGGGGCCGGCCCGCCGGAGAACACCACGUCCGGACCCUCCGCCCUCCGCUACCUGGGUGGGCUUGCCGAACCACUUCCAGAGCUGCCGCGCCGGCAGGAAGGCGGCGAUCUUGGGCCGGUUCUCCACGGACGGCAGGCGCUGCCGCUUGGCCAGCUCCUUGGUGGUGGGGAGGUGGACGCCCUCCCUCUUCUUGGGUCGGCUCUUGGCCGCGGCCUGAGCCUUGGGCUGCAGAGGCUGCGCGGGCUGCGGCGGGGGCGCCUGGGGCGGGGGCGCCGGGGCCUUCUUGCCCGGAGAGGGGGCAGAGGAGCGAGCCUUGCCCGCCUGCUUGGGCGCCUUGCCGGGCAGGGCCGGCGGCGCCGAGGGGCCGGCCGCGGCGGGAGGCGCCGCCUCGUCGUCUGA
rnacentral:lncRNA from 1 species